rnacentral:rRNA from 1 species
GAUGAACGCUGGCGGCGUGCCUAAUACAUGCAAGCCGAGCGAAUGGAUUAAGAGCUUGCUCUUAUGAAGUUAGCGGCGGACGGGUGAGUAACACGUGGGUAACCUGCCCAUAAGACUGGGAUAACUCCGGGAAACCGGGGCUAAUACCGGAUAACAUUUUGAACCGCAUGGUUCGAAAUUGAAAGGCGGCUUCGGCCGUCACUUAUGGAUGGACCCGCGUCGCAUUAGCUAGUUGGUGAGGUAACGGCUCACCAAGGCAACGAUGCGUAGCCGACCUGGGAGGGUGAUCGGCCACACUGGGACUGAGACACGGCCCAGACUCCUACGGGAGGCAGCAGUAGGGAAUCUUCCGCAAUGGACGAAAGUCUGACGGAGCAACGCCGCGUGAGUGAUGAAGGCUUUCGGGUCGUAAAACUCUGUUGUUAGGGAAGAACAAGUGCUAGUUGAAUAAGCUGGCACCUUGACGGUACCUAACCAGAAAGCCACGGCUAACUACGUGCCAGCCGCCGCGGUAAGAC